rnacentral:rRNA from 1 species
GCCGCGUGAGUGAAGAAGGCCCUUGGGUUGUAAAGCUCUUUCGUCGGGGAAGAAAAUGACUGUACCCGAAUAAGAAGGUCCGGCUAACUUCGUGCCAGCAGCCGCGGUAAUACGAAGGGACCUAGCGUAGUUCGGAAUUACUGGGCUUAAAGAGCACGUAGGUGGUUAAAAAAGUUGGUGGUGAAAUCCCAGAGCUUAACUCUGGAACUGCCAUCAAAACUUUUUAGCUAGAGUAUGAUAGAGGAAAGUAGAAUUUCUAGUGUAGAGGUGAAAUUCGUAUAUAUUAGAAAGAAUACCGAUUGCGAAGGCAGCUUUCUGGAUCAUUACUGACACUGAGGUGCGAAAGCAUGGGUAGCGAAGAGGAUUAGAUACCCUCGUAGUCCAUGCCGUAAACGAUGUGUGCUAGACGUUGGAAAUUUAU